rnacentral:tRNA from 1 species
GCCCUUGUGACUCAGUUGGUUGAGUGUUGACCUGUGUACCAGGAGGUUGCUGGUUCGAUUCCCAGUCAAGGGCA